rnacentral:rRNA from 1 species
GGAUGCGAAAAUACCAGCGUUAAUGCAUCGGAUCCCAUCAGAACUCCGCAGUUAAGCGCGCUUGGGCUAGAGUAGUACUGGGAUGGGUGACCUCCCGGGAAGUCCUAGUGUUGCACCCU